AUGACCUAACAAACAAGGGUGGUUGCCGAGCGGGUAAUGGAUUACAGAAUGGGCUCAGGAGAAGGCACUGGGAACCGUGCAUGGGACUUAGCACAGUGGACCAGAGAUGAAGAAUGUGGCAGAGUGCUGUAGAUUCUGAAGUCAGAGUGGGCAGCAUUACUGAUGGCUCAGGUGUAAGGGUUGAGAAGGACCUUGACCGUGUCCUAGCAUGAGAUUCUGGAGAAGGGACCCCUUUCAUGAACCUUUGGAUGGUGGACCUGUGCCUCCUGGGCUCAAGGUGCUGGUCCAAUGGCCAUCUUUUAAAGAACCACUGACCACAGGCCAUUCACGUGAAGACUGCAAAUGCCCUUUAAACCUCAUGACUCCUUUUAUAAGAUGAGAAAGCACUCUCCGGCUCCGAUGAGAAUACAGGAGACCUAAGAAGGCUCUUACCUCUGGGAUACAUCCAUAUAUCCUCUGCUCCAGCCCCCACAUAUCUCCUGUGGGCUCAUACAUGGACCGCCCCCAACAUCCCCCCUCUCAUCAGGAUCAGGGCAGUCUCCGAUCAGAGUCAUUCCUCCACUUAGCACCUGGCAUGACUCCCAGCUCCUUCUGUAUGAAGCCCAGAUUACCCACAGUCAAUAAAGCUCUCUGUGACUUGCUUCUCCCUCCC